AUAAGCACUUCCGUCUAAUUUUUGAAAGGUGGUCAAGGGAACGAGGUGGUGAAACACAUGUGAAUUGACACAACUUUCAGAAAUUAGACUGAAGUGCUGAUCU